AGCUCGCCAGAUCAGAGGAGAAGAAUUGGCUUCUGAAGGAAAUGCUUAGUGUAGCGACCAAGGAGAACGACGAACUGCGAGAUCGUCUAUCGAAGCUGCAUUUCAAUGGCAGAAAUAAGCAGGCGAACCAGGCGACUGAGAAGAAGAUGAGGACCGCCCCAGGCCCCUCCUCUUCCUCCAACCCAGAUCGAGCCGAGCCAAGCAUGAAGAAGCCCCAAGUUUCGCUUCGGAUCCUGACUGAAAAACCGAUUGUAUUGUAGCGAUUCCACAUCGUAAUUAUCUAUAUAUUUUCGAUCGAUUCAUUGAUGAAUCCUGCUAAUGACUUCAUUGAUUAGAUAAAGGAUGACUGUCUCUGGAAAAAAUAAGGGCAAAAGAAGUUGGGGAGCGUUUUUCCUUGAGCUUACUAUCCUUGUUCUUUAAAGGAAGACUGCUCUGUUAGAAAGAAGGUUCAGCAUUGUGCAGAGGAUCCAACAGUUUUGAUCACUACCUACGAGGGGUCGCAUGACCACCUGCUUCCUGAUGACGCCGUCGAGAAGGCCAGCGGCACUUCGGAGGCCAUGUCUAUGUCAUUGUCCGGCUCUUUGUCCUCCACAAACUAUGGUCAAUCUCCCAGUUAAGAUCCUCUGUCCCCAUUUCUCUCUAUCGUCGUGUUCCAUUAUCGAUCGGACGGAUCAGAUUAAAUCUCAAGGAUACUUUGCACAUACGAGAAUACUGUACCUAUUUUAAAGAUGUCAUAAUGUCUUGAGAUUUAAUCUGAUCCGUCUGAUUGAUAAUAAGACACAGGAACAGAGAGAAAUGGAGACAGAGGAUCUAAACUAUCGAUCUCUAACGACUACCUUUUGGCCGGAGCGACGAUCUCGGAGAUUGAGCCUUUCCCGUCUGUCAUGGUCGCUGCUUCCUCCAGGAUUCCCGGAUCCGAUGGUGAUGGACAAGAGGAUGGCAAGAAAGAAUGAACUAAACGAUUUUGAUGGAGUUGAUCUAUCGCUAGUGCUCAGGAUUGUUGGAUUCAGCUAGAACAAGGCAUUGGUAGUUCUCUAAGAUUUAUGUAGCCAAUUAUAAAAAAAUAAGAUAAAUAUGUUUUGCAUUUGUAGGGAUACAAUUAAAAAAAUAUGUAAAAGAUGUUGAAUUUAAAAAGAUAUAAUAUUGGUAUGAAAUUUGAUA